rnacentral:rRNA from 1 species
UACGUAGGGGGCGAGCGUUGUCCGAAGUUACUGGGCGUAAAGCGCGCGUAGGCGGCUUUUUAAGUCUGGGGUGAAAGGUUCACGGCUCAACCGGAACAGUGCCUUGGAGACUGGGAAGCUUGAGUCUGGCAGAGGAGCAUGGAAUUCCUGGUGUAGCGGUGAAAUGCGUAGAUAUCAGGAGGAACACCCAUGGCGAAGGCAGUGCUCUGGGCUAAGACUGACGCUGAGGUGCGAAAGCGUGGGGAGCGAACGGG